GAUGAAGAACGUAGCGAAAUGCGAUAAGUAAUGUGAAUUGCAGAAUUCAGUGAAUCAUCGAAUCUUUGAACGCACAUUGCGCCCCCUGGUAUUCCGGGGGGCAUGCCUGUCCGAGCGUCAUCACAACCCUCAAGCUCAGCUUGGUGUUGGGCCCCGCCGCCCCGGCGGGCCCUAAAGUCAGUGGCGGUGCCGUCCGGCUCCGAGCGUAGUAAUUCUUCUCGCUCUGGAGGUCCGGUCGUGUGCUCGCCAGCAACCCCCAAUUUUUUUCAGGUUGACCUCGGAUCAGGUAGGGAUACCCGCUGAACUUAAGCAUAUCAAUAAGCGGAGGA
rnacentral:misc_RNA from 1 species